UUAGACGAAGCCAAAAAGAGGCCUAUCACUGUUAAUGAUAAAAAUGAAUAAAAACUCAAUUCCGCCUAAG
rnacentral:tRNA from 1 species